AACGAACGCUGGCGGCAGGCUUAACACAUGCAAGUCGAACGGACGUAGCAAUACGUUAGUGGCAGACGGGUGAGUAACGCGUGGGAAUAUGCCCUUUAGUUCGGAAUAACCAAGGGAAACUUUGGCUAAUACCGGAUAAUCCCGAGAGGGGAAAGAUUUAUCGCUGAAGGAGUAGCCCGCGUCUGGUUAGCUAGUUGGUGAGGUAAUGGCUCACCAAGGCGACGAUCAGUAGCUGGUCUGAGAGGAUGAUCAGCCACACUGGGACUGAGACACGGCCCAGACUCCUACGGGAGGCAGCAGUGGGGAAUAUUGGAAAAUGGGGGCAACCCUGAUCCAGCCAUGCCGCGUGAGUGAUGAAGGCCUUAGGGUUGUAAAACUCUUUUAUCCGGGAAGAUAAUGACUGUACCGGAAGAAUAAGCCCCGGCUAACUUCGUGCCAGCCGCCGCCGUAAAAC
rnacentral:rRNA from 1 species